rnacentral:lncRNA from 10 species
AAAACUCGAACCAACCUGGGAGACCUUAUCUAGUGCCCCUAACCACUGAGACAGCAGUCUGGACCGUUAAGAAAGGGUAGACCCAUCACACUCAGGUGAAAAAGGCAUGACCCCCUUUGGAGGCAUAGGUUGUCACUCCCGGGCCAACACCUUCCAAACUAAUAUUCAAAAAAACUUAACCUGUCUAAUUUGCUCCCUCUUUCUUUCGUUAGCUACCCAGGAACAUUUUAUUUUAUCAAUGUAACCUGAUCAUCGUUUCCUCAAACAAUUACAUUUGAUGCUUGUCUUGUUAUGCCCUGUGGGGACCUACAAACCCAAAGGCAACUAGCCUCUUCAGCUCUUGUUUCUAACAUAGGCAAUAACAUACAGGACAUAGGAAUGGGCAAAGACUUCAUGACUAAAACACCAAAAGCAACAGCAACAAAAGCCAAAAUUGACAAAUGGGAUCUAAUUAAACUAAAGAGAUUCUGCGCAGCAAAGGAAACUAUCAUCAGAGUGAACAGGCAACCUACAGAAUGGGAGAAAAUUUUUGCAAUCUAUCCAUUUGACAAAGGGCUAAUGUCCAGAAUCUAUAAAGAACUUAAAUUUAC